rnacentral:rRNA from 1 species
GCAAGUCGAACGAAGUAGCAAUACUUAGUGGCAGACGGGUGAGUAACAUGUGGGUAUCUUCCCUUUGGUGAGGAAUAACACGAGGAAACUUGUGCUAAUACCUCAUAAGUCUUUACGGAGAAAGCUUUAUGCGCCAAUGGAUGAGCCCGCACUUGAUUAGUUUGUUGGUGAGGUAAUGGCUCACCAAGACUUUGAUCAAUAGCUGAUUUGAGAGGAUGAUCAGCCACAUUGGGACUGAGACACGGCCCAAACUCCUACGGGAGGCAGCAGUAGGGAAUCUUGCACAAUGGGGGAAACCCUGAUGCAGCGAUGCCGCGUGAGUGAAGAAGGCCUUUGGGUUGUAAAGCUCUUUCGUCGGGGAAGAAAAUGACUGUACCCGAAUAAGAAGGUCCGGCUAACUUCGUGCCAGCAGCCGCGGUAAUACGAAGGGACCUAGCGUAGUUCGGAAUUACUGGGCUUAAAGAGUUCGUAGGUUGUUAAAAAAGUUGGUGGUGAAAUCCCAGAGCUUAACUCUGGAACUGCCAUCAAAACUUUUUAGCUAGAGUUUGAUAGAGGAAAGCAGAAUUUCUAGUGUAGAGGUGAAAUUCG